GUAAGUAUUGUGGCUUUGUUGCUAAAUUUCUGUUUAGAUUCUUAAGGUCUAAUUUUACUUUAAUUUUAGGUAUCAACCACGGGUAGCAAUUGUACUGGUUUUUCUGCACUAGGUGAGGUAUUGUUUCGUGUAGUUCCCCCAGGAGCUCUUUAAACCGUAUCCCGAGCGGUCGUGGGAUAGUUGGCCUGGCGUCAAAAACAUUUCCGUCUGGAAAUAGGAAAACAUUGUUCGGCUGUUGUCUUCGCGUAUCCAAUGGAGGCAAGUUCGAUUCACAAUAAAGACUGUGUAUAGGAGUGGUAGGAAACGCGCCUAAACAAUACUUUAUUCCAGUAUUAUGCACCCUAUCUAAUAGUAAUAGCGACGAUUUACGGGCUGAUGCAUAUACAAUCGCUCCAUAGUCGAUUUGCGACAUAACUAAGGCCCGGUAUACGUUUAUUAGCAUUUGCACCUCAGCACCCCAUUUGGUGUUCAAUAUGCGCGUUCCACGUUAGUUUGCUAUCAAACGUCAAUCCCAGAAAUUUUGUCGCUGUCACACACGCAACUGGUCUAUUUCCGAUAUAGAGUGACGGAUCAUAAUGUGGUCUGCGCAAUUUACAAAAAUGAACGCAUUUAGUUUUUUCCCUGGAAAAUUGUUUAACGUUUAUCUGGCCUACAGUGGCCCCGGAGCAAUAUAUCGCCAAGUCAUCAACAUAUAGAGCCCGAGAAACACCAGGCUCCACUCCGUACGCAAUCUCGUUAAUUGCAAUCAAAAACAGUGUACAGCUCAGCGUGGAGCCUUGCGGUACACCGUUUUCCAGUCGUUGAACUUUUGACAAAGUGUUUCCUAUCCGCACCCGGAAAUAUCUAUCGGUCAUAAACGAUUUAAUAAAUUUAGGUAAGUUACCCCUCGCACCGUAUUUGUGCAAUUUAUUUAAUAUUCCAUGCCUCCAGGUCAUAUCGUAGGCUCCCUUUAUAUCAAAAAAUACCGCUACGAGGUGUUGUCGUUUCCUGUGAGCUUCCCUUAUCGAGUUCUCUAAUUCGACUAGAUGGUCUAUUGUCGAUCGGCCUUUUCUAAAACCUGCUUGGUAAGGCGCUAUCAAGUUGUUCUUCUCAAGGUAAAAUUGAAGCCUUUUGUUUACGAUUUUUUCCAAAAGUUUACCUAAGCAGCAAGUCAAACUUAUUGGUCGAUAACUUGCGGCGUGUAAUGGAUUCUUUCCGGGUUUAUGUAUUGGAAUUAUAGUAGCCAUCUUCCAUUGUUCCGGAUA